rnacentral:rRNA from 1 species
UGAUCCUACGGGAGGCAGCAGUGAGGAAUAUUGGUCAAUGGUCGGGAGACUGAACCAGCCAAGCCGCGUGAGGGAUGAAGGUACAGAGUAUCGUAAACCUCUUUUGUCAGGGAACAAAGGCGGGGACGUGUCCCCGGAUGAGUGUACCUGGAGAAAAAGCAUCGGAUAACUCCGUGCCAGCAGCCGCGGUAAUACGGAGGAUGCGAGCGUUAUGCGGAUUUAUUGGGGUUAAAGGGCGCGCAGGCGGUCUGUUAAGUCAGGGGUCAAAGCCCGGGGCUCAACCCCGGCCCGCC